GCUUUCCUUAAAUAAUUUCUUUCUCUGUUUUCCUCUUCAACCGACUGUCCCUCUCUCUCUCUUCAUCUCAUCGACCUUGACAACAUGAUCCAUCCGCAUCCUCAAGCCUCCUCAGGUCCUUGUCCUUGAUGACACAAGCCACAUUUCUUUGCCAUCUAGCAUGGAGCUUCCAAAUAAUAUGACAUCAUAUGGGUCCGAUUUACGCUUGGGUCUGCCAGAUUUGGGAAUUGGCUCAACUUUUAGUGAUGGGUUUGAUUUGGGUUAUUCUUCAAUGGCCCAGAACUUUAUCAAUGAUGAUGAUUCUUCUGACUUCAAUUUGUAUCCACCAUCGAAGAAAAUGAAAAAAUCUUGAUCGAACUUGGAAGAAAUAUUCCUCCAUCUGAAAACAACCUUGAAACAAGUUUCUUCUUCACUGUUUCCAUUCGAUUUCUUUUGCAUUUGAUGCCAAGGUAUGUCUCCUUUUUAAGUUGCAUUGUUUCAUUUGCAUCUUUGGGUGCUCGUUCAUUGGAUUGGAUACCAACCUAAUUUGAAUAAGAUCUAACACAAAGAAAAUGCAAAAUUGAUGAAAGAAAUUAAUCAUGUGAUUUGUUGCUAAA